GCGCCGAUAAUAUAGUGGUAGUAUCUCACCCUUCCAAGGUGAUCGCCUGGGUUCGAAUCCCAGUCGGCGCA
rnacentral:tRNA from 1 species